rnacentral:rRNA from 1 species
AUUGAACGCUGGCGGCAGGCCUAACACAUGCAAGUCGAGCGGAUGAAGGGAGCUUGCUCCUGGAUUCAGCGGCGGACGGGUGAGUAAUGCCUAGGAAUCUGCCUGGUAGUGGGGGAUAACGUCCGGAAACGGGCGCUAAUACCGCAUACGUCCUGAGGGAGAAAGUGGGGGAUCUUCGGACCUCACGCUAUCAGAUGAGCCUAGGUCGGAUUAGCUAGUUGGUGGGGUAAAGGCCUACCAAGGCGACGAUCCGUAACUGGUCGGAGAGGAUGAUCAGUCAACCGGGACCGGGGACCGGGUCCAGGCCCCUACGGGGGGCCGCAGGGGGGAAUUUUGGACAAGGGGGGAAAGCCUGUCCCACCCAUGCCGGGUGUGUGAAGAAGGUCUUCGGUUUUUAAAGCCUUUUAAGUUGGGGGGAAGGGAAGUAAGUUAAUACCUUGCUGUUUUGACGUUACCAACAGAAUAAGCCCCGGCUAACUUCGU